AUUCUUAGGUUCUUUAUGUUUUUCACAUUUAGGAAAAAAAAAGGAUAAUAUUAGUAGAUAACCAAAUAAAACAUACAAAUUAAGAAAUUAGCAGAGAGAAAAUUUUUUGUUACAAAAUAACCAUGGACCCACGUUGUCGGAAGAAAGGAAAUAACAAAGCUACCCUUCAUUUGUUGUAAGAUGAACAGUAAACGAAACACAUCCGUGUAAUUUUUAAAAAUAGCAUGUAACAUUAAAAUUUCACAUGUUAUAUUUAGUUUAAAAACAUGCUAUUUCAAAAAACGUUAUGAAUUUUUAAGAAAAAACAUUAUUAU
rnacentral:sRNA from 1 species